AAUUCUCAAGCUUCAACCUUGUUGUAAUGACUUGGAUUGUUGUUUGGACUUGAGGGUUGCUGCGAGUCUUUGGACUUUUGAACGGCUCCCUUUAAAUGCAUUAGUGGUGACUUGGACCCACUAUCAAAUGUGUUGAUAGUUAUCUACACUUUGAAGUGACCGAAUGUCUUUCCGCUUCUAACCGUCUUUCGAGACAAUAUCUUGAAAU
rnacentral:misc_RNA from 1 species